rnacentral:rRNA from 1 species
UCGAACGAUGAAGCCCAGCUUGCUGGGUGGAUUAGUGGCGAACGGGUGAGUAACACGUGAGUAACCUGCCCUUAACUCUGGGAUAAGCCUGGGAAACUGGGUCUAAUACCGGAUAGGAGCGCCUACCGCAUGGUGGGUGUUGGAAAGAUUUAUCGGUUUUGGAUGGACUCGCGGCCUAUCAGCUUGUUGGUGAGGUAAUGGCUCACCAAGGCGACGACGGGUAGCCGGCCUGAGAGGGUGACCGGCCACACUGGGACUGAGACACGGCCCAGACUCCUACGGGAGGCAGCAGUGGGGAAUAUUGCACAAUGGGCGCAAGCCUGAUGCAGCGACGCCGCGUGAGGGAUGACGGCCUUCGGGUUGUAAACCUCUUUCAGUAGGGAAGAAGCGAAAGUGACGGUACCUGCAGAAGAAGCACCGGCUAACUACGUGCCAGCAGCCGCGGUAAUACGUAGGGUGCGAGCGUUAUCCGGAAUUAUUGGGCGUAAAGAGCUCGUAGGCGGUUUGUCGCGUCUGUCGUGAAAGUCCGGGGCUUAACCCCGGAUCUGCGGUGGGUA